ACUAUAGUCUGUGCUAACCCUAAUUUUUUUUGUCAAAAAAUCAAAUCUGUUCAUCCCUUCUCUCCCUUAUUCGGCGACGAUGACGGUAGAACUUCCUCAACGUCCAUGAAACGGGUCUGUGAUAUCCCAUCAAUUGAGAGGUCGGGUAUAAAUAGUCCGACAAGUGUUCUGCUGCGAUUCUGGGAGGCCAGGAAUGUCAAGCGCUCAUGUGGCUUGAUAUGCUGAUGGUGGACAUUAAUAUUUAGAUGUAUAGAAUAUCACCAUUAUUUGUUUCCAGAGGCUGAUAAGAUCAAAGACUGUAACCAAAGGUUAUCAACCACGCUGAUACCUUUAGAUCGGUUUCAGACAAUGAAACCAAACUUCAGGAAGAGAAAGUUUGAAAGUUGAUCCCAGCUGGAGUCUCCAGCGUUGUUGUCUCCUACAGCGUUCAAAGGUUUCAGGAGAGAUUGUUGGAUCCAAGAGAAGCAAGCAGGAUUAAGCUGAACUUAAUAUAGAAGUGUGUGGUUAAUCAGGGUUCACAUUUAUAGAGUAUGUUGUUAUACGCCGGUAAUCGGCACCUGAAGUACUUCUACAGUCCUAUGUAUACACAUUAAAAGUUGUGGCUCUGCUCUGGGAUCCAUGCAACAGACCGACCGAUGCAGAGGCUCUGUACGUUCCGUCCUUUCAGGAAUAGAGGCGAACAUCCACGUUAUAGUGAGAUGUUCGGCACGGGAGAUGUUGUCGCAUCUAGUUUAGCAGGCGGCCAUUCUACGGCUUUGGAUUUUAUUCCGGACUCUCAGACGUCACAUAUAGAGCUACACAACCGCCUCUUCCUCCUACUCCUUCUGUUCCUCCCAUUGCACCACCGCUCGCUCCACAUGCGAUUUGAGACAGUGCUCCUCAUGCGGUUCCAGAUGGUGCUCCUCAUACACCUGCAGCCGGAUUUCAUCCUGAUUUGUUGGUGCCGCGAGAUGCACUUUAUGCUUGUUAUACAAUGAGGAUCUUUUCGCCCAACCAGGACGAGAAGGUUAGAUGUCUUGGACCCCGAUCGACAGCCAGGAACUUACUGGUUUGGGGUCAACGGUCAUGUGGGACAAAGUUUUUUAACACGAUCAAAGGCUAUUUCACGGAGCCGCGUCUUAACUGGACUCUGACACCUGAGCACAUUAGGACCACAUGGUUCAAAUGUUUUGCGCAAAAAUAUAAUUUGUCCAUAGGGAUUAACGAGAAGGUGAAGGUGGCAUUUGUUGCGAAGACCGAAGACCCCCUAUAAACAUUGUCUCCGACUAGAAGGACAUUUGGGAGUUCAAAGGCUAUUAAGCGAAGCUCUUCUCCCUCUUGAAGGAAGCGUGGUAUGGUCUCAUCCGCUAUAGGACCAACCCCCACUCGGUCUGAGUCACUACGCAAUGCUCCGCUUCUUGUACGACGAGGGAUGAGCACAAACGUUUGCCAAUGGUUUACGCUUCUGGCCAAACACCCCAUGCCGGUGUCCGUCUACAGAUGGCCAAAAAGGAAGAAAAAAACAAUCCUAGCAAGCACCGGCUCUCACUUGAAACAGAUUUGGAAAUUCAAAGGAAAUGAAGCGAAGCCCCCCUCCGAAGCCCCCCUAACCCACGAACGAUGUAUGGGAUGGUCUCAUCUGAUCUUUUCCACCUCUGAGUCGCUGUGCAGUUCUCCGCUUCUCGUAUGACGAGGGACAAACAUGGACAUUUGCCGAUGGUUCACACUUCUGGCCAAACACCAUACGCCGGUUUCCGUCUAGAGAUGCUAAGUGAUUUUAAUAAAAAAGGUCCUAUUUUAUAUUUUCAUUAAUUUUAUUCUAACUUUUAGGUUUUAGGACGCAAAGGAAGGAGUGCUUCCAUCUCUAUCCGACCAUUUUCAGGCUACAAUAAGACACAAGACAGUGUUUUCGUGGAUCCCCGGUCAGAAAAGCUGUACAAAGACCAACUGACGUAGCACUCUCCGGAUGGGUUGCCGUCCAAUUGUUCACAAAAGAGGUGGUCCCUAAAAAAAGACCGGACACUGGGAAUAUGAUCCGCUAACAAUGUCCAAAGACAAUAUCUUCUUAUUCCCAGAUACGUGAUGAGGAGUCCUCUCGGCUAUGUUCUGAUUUGGAUGUGACGCAAGCUCGCUUGGAAUCCGUCGAAGGUCUUCUCAACAUUUUGGCGGUCGGAAACCCGCAAAUGCAGAGGAUGUUGCAGGUUAAACGGCAUGAACUCGGGAUUCCAGAUCCACCAACCCAUUCCACGGAGGAAGAGGUGGAGUUAGAGAGAAUAGCCGACGUGAGCAGCUCGAAGCUCUUCGACAAUGUUCUCAACCGUUAUCUUUGGUUUUUAUUUUCGUUUUUCUAUAAUAAUUUUAAAUAUUAAUAUUUUAAAAUUAUAUCUCAUAAAUUUUAUAUUA